AAGGAUUUGGGGGAACAGAUAUGAGUUAAAACUGGUGAAAAUAUCAGAAAUGAAAGUCCAAACCAUCAGUGUCGGUGUUUGAUUGGAACAUGUUAAGCAGCCUUUUGAAAGACUUAAAAACAACAUGUCUGUCCUUUUCAUGAGGAAUAGAUGUCGGUAUGUCUUCCUUCUACUUUCGUCUCAUCCGAUGGGAGAUUCAGAUAUCCUGAAUUAAAACAUUUGCCAGUAAGUCUGAUGAUUCUAAAAUUUCUACACAAGAAAUCACUACCAUUACUCAAUAGGGAAGAAAUGUCCUUUCAAUAAUUAACAGGUCAAGACCUUCAUCCAAACCCAUGGUUGUUCCAUUUGAGGUUCUGAUUAUUUUAAAUGCUGCAUCUUCCCUGGUGUAAACAUUUUCUUUGUAAGAGACCUUCUAUCAAAAACUCUUAAUUUCAAAUGGAAUGCAGUCAGUUAUUUAAAUUAUUAUGAUGAUAUUGUACUUUUGAAGGUCUGUAAUGCCAUUUCUUUAUUUUUCUUUCUUUUUGUACUCACAAACCUGUAUCUAGCCAACUGUGUACCUAAGAUGACACUGUAAAAGGCUACUCGUGAACUUUUCAUUGUACUCACGUGAGUACAUGUGACAAUAAAGCUAAUUCAAUUCAA